rnacentral:rRNA from 1 species
GAUGAACGCUGGCGGCGUGCCUAAUACAUGCAAGUCGAGCGAACAGACGAGGAGCUUGCUCCUCUGACGUUAGCGGCGGACGGGUGAGUAACACGUGGAUAACCUACCUAUAAGACUGGGAUAACUUCGGGAAACCGGAGCUAAUACCGGAUAAUAUAUUGAACCGCAUGGUUCAAUAGUGAAAGACGGUUUUGCUGUCACUUAUAGAUGGAUCCGCGCCGCAUUCGCUAGUUGGUAAGGUAACGGCUUACCAAGGCGACGAUGCGUAGCCGACCUGAGAGGGGGAGCGGCCACGCUGGAACUGAGACACGGUCCAGACUCCUACGGGAGGCAGCAGUAGGGGAUCUUCCGCGAUGGGCGAAGGCCUGACGGAGCAACGCCGCGUGAGUGAUGAAGGUCUUCGGAUCGUAAAACUCUGUUAUUAGGGAAGAACAAAUGUGUAAGUAACUAUGCACGUCUUGGCGGUACCUAAUCAGAAAGCCACGGCUAACUACGUG